UUAUUUUUUGGUGUUAAUUUAUCUUAUGAAUUAAGUAUGGAAUGAAAAAUUGCAUAAACUAAAUGGAAAUUUGUUGAUUAAUAUUGAUUUUUGGUAGGUAUGGUGCUAAUUAUUGGUAAUAAUGACUGAAAUAUUCCUUAUCUAGAACAAAUUAAUUUGAAUUUUGCAUAUUUUUUCUUGAUAUGAACGAAAUUGUGAGACCCCAGGUA
rnacentral:lncRNA from 1 species